CUGAGACCUGAUGCCGAGCCGAUUGUGGUGAAGUGGAUGAUCCUAUGCUGUCGAGAAAAGCCUCUAGCGAGUUUCAUGGCGGCCCGUACCCUAAACCGACUCAGGUGGUCAGGUAGAGAAUACCGAGGCGUUCGGGUGAACUAUGGUUAAGGAACUCGGCAAAAUGCCCCCGUAACUUCGGGAGAAGGGGGGCCAUCACUGGUGAUCCGAUUUACUCGGUGAGCUGGGGGUGGCCGCAGAGACCAGCGAGAAGCGACUGUUUACUAAAAACACAGGUCCGUGCGAAGCCGUAAGGCGAUGUAUACGGACUGACGCCUGCCCGGUGCUGGAACGUUAAGGGGACCGGUUAGUCACUCUUCGGGGUGGCGAAGCUGAGAACUUAAGCGCCAGUAAACGGCGGUGGUAACUAUAACCAUCCUAAGGUAGCGAAAUUCCUUGUCGGGUAAGUUCCGACCUGCACGAAUGGCGUAACGACUUCUCGACUGUCUCAACCAUAGGCCCGGUGAAAUUGCACUACGAGUAAAGAUGCUCGUUUCGCGCAGCAGGACGGAAAGACCCCGGGACCUUUACUACAGUUUGAUAUUGGUGUUCGGUUCGGCUUGUGUAGGAUAGCUGGGAGACUGUGAAGCUCGGACGCCAGUUCGGGUGGAGUCGUCGUUGAAAUACCAGUCUGGUCGUGCUGGAUGUCUAACCCGGGUCCGUGAUCCGGAUCGGGGACAGUGUCUGAUGGGUAGUUUAACUGGGGCGGUUGCCUCCCAAAGGGUAACGGAGGCGCCCAAAGGUUCCCUCAGCCUGGUUGGCAAUCAGGUGGUGAGUGUAAGUGCACAAGGGAGCUUGACUGUGAGACCGACGGGUCGAGCAGGGACGAAAGUCGGGACUAGUGAUCCGGCGGUGGCUUGUGGAAGCGCCGUCGCUCAACGGAUAAAAGGUACCCCGGGGAUAACAGGCUGAUCUUCCCCAAGAGUCCAUAUCGACGGGAUGGUUUGGCACCUCGAUGUCGGCUCGUCGCAUCCUGGGGCUGGAGUCGGUCCCAAGGGUUGGGCUGUUCGCCCAUUAAAGCGGUACGCGAGCUGGGUUUAGAACGUCGUGAGACAGUUCGGUCCCUAUCCGCUGCGCGCGCAGGAAUAUUGAGAAGGGCUGUCCCUAGUACGAGAGGACCGGGACGGACGAACCUCUGGUGUGCCAGUUGUUCUGCCAAGGGCAUGGCUGGUUGGCUACGUUCGGGAGGGAUAACCGCUGAAAGCAUCUAAGCGGGAAGCCUGCUUCGAGAUGAGUAUUCCCACCCACUUGAUGGGGUAAGGCUCCCAGUAGACGACUGGGUUGAUAGGCCAGAUAUGGAAGCCUGGUAACGGGUGGAGUUGACUGGUACUAAUAGGCCGAGGGCUUGUCCUC
rnacentral:rRNA from 1 species